rnacentral:misc_RNA from 1 species
UACAGGGGGUGCAAGCGUUACUCGGAAUUACUGGGCGUAAAGCGCAUGUAGGUGGCUUAAUAAGUUUGGUGUGAAAUCCCGGGGCUCAACCCCGGAAGUGCAUUGAAUACUGUUAGGCUGGAGUAUGGGAGAGGAGAGUGGAAUUCCUGGUGUAGAGGUGAAAUUCGUAGAUAUCAGGAGGAACACCGGUGGCGAAGGCGGCUCUCUGGACCAUUACUGACACUGAGAUGCGAAAGCGUGGGGAGCCAACAGG